rnacentral:rRNA from 1 species
UGGGGAAUUUUGCGCAAUGGGGGAAACCCUGACGCAGCAACGCCGCGUGGAGGAUGAAGUCUCUUGGGACGUAAACUCCUUUCGAUCGGGAAGAUAAUGACGGUACCGAUAGAAGAAGCCCCGGCUAACUUCGUGCCAGCAGCCGCGGUAAUACGAGGGGGGCAAGCGUUGUUCGGAAUUAUUGGGCGUAAAGGGUGCGUAGGCGGUCUGGUAAGUCUUGUGUGAAAUCUUCAGGCUCAACCUGAAGUCUGCAUGAGAAACUGCCGGGCUUGAGUAUGGGAGAGGUGAGUGGAAUUUCCGGUGUAGCGGUGAAAUGCGUAGAUAUCGGAAGGAACACCUGUGGCGAAAGCGGCUCACUGGACCAUAACUGACGCUGAGGCACGAAAGCUAGGGGAGCAAACAGG